rnacentral:rRNA from 1 species
UACGUAGGGUGCGAGCGUUGUCCGGAAUUAUUGGGCGUAAAGAGCUUGUAGGCGGUCUGUCGCGUCUGCUGUGAAAAUCCGGGGCUCAACCCCGGACUUGCAGUGGGUACGGGCAGACUAGAGUGUGGUAGGGGAGACUGGAAUUCCUGGUGUAGCGGUGAAAUGCGCAGAUAUCGGGAGGAACACCGGUGGCGAAGGCGGGUCUCUGGGCAAUUCCUGACGCUGAGGCGCGAAAGCGUGGGGAGCAAACGGG